GUUAUUUGUAAUACCUAUCUUCUCUAAUCUAGGUGUUUGAAAAAUGUCUCUAACGUGUGUGGGCUAGAAGACAUUUUGUUUUUCUGUGGGUUUAUUCAUUUAACAAGGGCAGUGUUUGAGGAACUAUCAAAAACUGCUUGUCAUCUUUCCAGAUCACCUCUCUCUGCAGUGACCAUGACUUAAUCCAGAAGGAAAACAAGCCCAGCUCUUCACUCUUGUCCUCUUAUCGAUCUGCCAUCCUACUGGCUUAAACCUAGAUGAUUCUUAUAAGGGGGCCACUCUGCUGAAUAUAGCCGGCUGUUAUUGAUGGUUACUACUUUGGAGCUACAGUUCUACCAGAUCAUCCAUCCCAGAAACCAAAUCAAUAAGACAUGGAAUCUUCAUCAGUCAAGAGCCAAGUACUUUGAAGUAUUCAUACAUACCAGCUGGGAGAAACAUACCACUGCUACACUUAAACCUAAACACGUGGACUGCAUGAUAUUACUGGCAAAUUGGAUAUAUUAAGGUUCACAAUUUCUUGGAGCUAACUGUGUGUAUUUAGGCAAUUUUUAGGAUCAUAGAAAGUAAAAAAUAUAUAUAUAUCUAAACUGAUGCUUUCUUUCUUUCUUUUUUUUUUUGUAAUUGAUUCCCUAAAAGAACAAGACUUUCUAGGUAUAUUUUUUAAAUAGGAUGUAUGUUUUGAGUUGAUUUUCUGACAACGGAGGUGAGUUUUCCUCAAUACUUGCAUAUAAUGGUUCUAGGAGUUAAUAGCACACAUUGGCAAGACAGCUGGCCAAGGCGAGAAGAAUGUUUAUUCAUAUAAAGAUAACAUGAUCAGAUCACAAUGAACCUACAGAAAGUUC